rnacentral:rRNA from 1 species
UACGGGGGGGCAAGCGUUGUUCGGAAUUACUGGGCGUAAAGGGCUCGUAGGCGGCCAACUAAGUCAGACGUGAAAUCCCUCGGCUUAACCGGGGAACUGCGUCUGAUACUGGAUGGCUUGAGUUUGGGAGAGGGAUGCGGAAUUCCAGGUGUAGCGGUGAAAUGCGUAGAUAUCUGGAGGAACACCGGUGGCGAAGGCGGCAUCCUGGACCAAUACUGACACUGAGGAGCGAAAGCCAGGGGAGCAAACGGG